ACAGGUUGUAGCCUGUAUAAAUAGGUUAUUAAGCUGCAAGCGUAUCAAUUCCUUCGGGAAUUGGUGGUUAAC
rnacentral:ribozyme from 1 species